AACCUGCCCAAGAGAUCGGGAUAACACCUGGAAACAGAUGCUAAUACCGGAUAACAACAGAUGAUGCCUAUCAACUGUUUAAAAGAUGGUUCUGCUAUCACUCUUGGAUGGACCUGCGGUGCAUUAGCUAGUUGGUAGGGUAACGGCCUACCAAGGCGAUGACGCAUAGCCGAGUUGAGAGACUGAUCGGCCACAUUGGGACUGAGACACGGCCCAAACUCCUACGGGAGGCAGCAG
rnacentral:rRNA from 1 species